CACGAGCACCACCACCAGCACCACAACCAACACUACCAGCAGCGGGAGCAGCAGCGAAGCAGACAACGCUCUAAAUACUCUAACGUACACCACGUGAUCAUGGCGUCGUACAGGAAAGCGACUCUGGCGGAUCGGCAGCAAGUAGUAGACAUGCAGGUGUACGAAGGACUA